GACGAACGCUGGCGGCGUGCCUAAUACAUGCAAGUUGAGCGAUGAAGAUUGGUGCUUGCACCAAUUUGAAAAGCAGCGAACGGGUGAGUAACGCGUGGGGAAUCUGCCUUUGAGCGGGGGACAACAUUUGGAAACGAAUGCUAAUACCGCAUAACAACUUUAAACAUAAGUUUUAAGUUUGAAAGAUGCAAUUGCAUCACUCAAAGAUGAUCCCGCGUUGUAUUAGCUAGUUGGUGAGGUAAAGGCUCACCAAGGCGAUGAUACAUAGCCGACCUGAGAGGGUGAUCGGCCACAUUGGGACUGAGACACGGCCCAAACUCCUACGGGAGGCAGCAGUAGGGAAUCUUCGGCAAUGGACGAAAGUCUGACCGAGCAACGCCGCGUGAGUGAAGAAGGGUUUCGGAUCGUAAAACUCUGUUGGUAGAGAAGAACGUUGGUGAGAGUGGAAAGCUCAUCAAGUGACGGUAACUACCCAGAAAGGGACGGCUAACUACGUG
rnacentral:rRNA from 1 species